CACGUAGUUAGCCGUGGCUUCCUCCUUGGCUACCGUCAUUAUCGUCACCAAGGACAGAGGUUUUACAAUCCGAAAAACCUUCUUCCCUCACGCGGCGUCGCUGGGUCAGGGUUUCCCCCAUUGCCCAAUAUUCCCCACUGCUGCCUCCCGUAGGAGUCUGGGCCGUGUCUCAGUCCCAAUGUGGCCGUUCAACCUCUCAGUCCGGCUACCAAUCGUCGGCAUGGUGGGCCUCUACCCCGCCAUCUACCUAAUUGGACGCGAGCCCAUCUCUCAGCGGAUUGCUCCUUUGAUUGCAAAAACCCAUGCGGCUCUGCAAUGUUAUGCGGUAUUAGCGAUCGUUUCCAAUCGUUACUCCCCCGUCUGAAAGGCAGGUUGCUCACGCGUUACUCACCCGUCCGCCACUCGAAUAUGCCUUCCUCGGCCGAAGCCUUGUCCAGCAUAUCCCCGUUCGACUUGCAUGUGUUAGGCGCGCCGCCAGCGUGUCUGUGUCACGCUACGAACUACUCUAC
rnacentral:rRNA from 1 species